GCCGGGAUGGCGGAAUUGGUAGACGCGCAUGAUUCAGGGUCAUGUGCCCGUAAGGGUGUGCAGGUUCAAGUCCUGUUCCCGGCACCA
rnacentral:tRNA from 2 species